GGGGAGAGUUGGCUCCGGAAUUCUCUCCUGAGUAACAAAGUCUGAGAAGAGGCAGCAGAGAUACAGAGAAGCCAGUGGGAUACAGCAAGCUCUGGUGCUGAACCCUGAUAAUGGGGCGGGACCUGGACUUCCAAGGAGAAAGCCCUGGAUGGUGAGGGAGCAAUGUUGGUCGUGAGGUAUUGCUACAAUGCAAUACCACUUCAUGAACGUCGUGACAACACAACACCAUUCUCUCAUAUGCCGAGGGACUGAGAAUCAUUUCUGCAGACUAGAAAUGAAGUAGGAAUUUUGAGAAGCCAGCUCAGGAGAAUGCAUCAUUGCACCAGCUUUCCAACCACUGUCCCAGCAGCUAACAUGUCCGUUGUUCUUCCUUUUGUUUGGCUCGUCUUACCUUUCUAACCUGCCUUUUACUGGUUACCAGUAUUUUAAAGGAGGAAGGAAAGCAACAAUUAUUGAAACUUUAAAGUUUCCACAGAACUCAUUAACAAGCAAGGGUGACCAGAUGAGAUGAAGAAAAUAUCAGGGGGAAGGGAGGGUUCCGCCAGCGGAGCAAGAAGAAGAAGAAAAAAGAGUGCUGCUGGCAGAGCAAGAAAAACAACAACAACAACAAAACAGUGCUGCCAGCAGAGUGAAAUAUCGGGAUGUGAUGAUCUUUGGUCGGGAUGUGGGACAACCACCCAAAUAUCAGGACACUCCCUAUAACAAGCAGCCAAGAGGGGGCACCAGCGUAAAAAGAUUACAUACAAAUGGGAUUCAGUUUGCCAAAAGUAAUUAAUACAUCAAGUAAACUAGAGGCGGCUAUUGCUGUUGGUAAUAAUUUCACUCUAAAACCUCUCGCCGCUUAACCCUGUAGACAAGCUUUCUAUUCUUCAACAACAUGGUAGUGGCAACAUAAUUUUCUCCACAAUACAUCACCACUGUGCCACCAUUUUGACCUAGAGAUAUAACCCUUCUUGAGAAAAAAUGAACAUAUGCACGUUCAAUCCUUGGCCUCUGAGUUAAGCCUACCAGGUAAGGUACCGGUUAAUGGCAACAGCAAUGGUAUUUUUGUAAGAUGUCUAUAAUACUUAGAAAUUGACUCAUUUCAUGCAGGCCACCAAAUAGACAUCAGAUGUUAAUGACUUUGUUUUGUUCAUAAUUUCCCUGGGCUGGAUUUGAAUGACUCUAUAUCUUAUUACCCAUUCCCUGAGCUAUUCAAGUCUUUCAAAAUCUUUUAUUUCUGACCCAGGAGUGACACUGGACUCUACUGCCUGUAACCUCAGAAGCUCCAAGGCCAGUCAUGUUAACAAGAGGCUUUCAUACUGGAGUUAGUCUAAAACAGGGGUGAUCACAUAUUUCAGUUUAAAAAAAAAUGGGUAACUAACUAUAUGUAAACCCAUAGCAGUGGAAAAUAAAUGGCAGAAUGCAUGGGAUGCCUCCUUAAACCUCUAAGCAGCACACUAGUUAGUUGAAUUCAAAAUGGGUUCAGAUAAUUUACACUGGAUUCAGUCUACAGCCAGAAACUUCUAAACAUCAGGAAUGUUUUUCAAAAGUAUUAAAUUAAUGUUUUUUGUGAAUCAUCUCAUCAUUCUUCCUUUUGCAACAAAUAAUGUUUAUAUUAUAAUUCUCUUACAUCUUUGAAUUUUGCAGUUAGUGACACCACAACUGGAAAUCUAGUCAAUUUAACCCCCCAAAAAAGGUUUAAAGUAGUUUCAGGUAUUAUAUGGCUCCCUGAGUUCCCUCUAGGGAAUGCUUGGGGUCUUAUAAUCAUUUUCCUAUUGUUAAAAAUGUAUGUUGUUCUUGUGGCUGUGUGAAAAACUGACAAAAGCAAAAGGGGAAACAAAGGCCCUGAUCCUCUGGACACUUACUAGUGGGCAUAGGGUUUCUACUGUAAUCCAAUUGAAAUAAAGGGAUUAUUCACAGUAAUAAGCACUAAAUCUUAUAAAGUAUUUGCAGGAUUCAUAGGUUUCAAGGCCAGAAGGGACCAUCAUAAUCACCUACUCUGAACUGCUGUAUAACACAGGCUAUAGACCAUCACCCCGUAACUACUGUAUCAAGCCCGAGGAACAAGAAUCAGCCAUUAACCAAUCAUAGAGGGGAAACAGUAUCAUCUACUAUAUAUCAAGUGCUAUUAAAUGCAUAAACAAAUUGAAGAAACAGAGGGAAAAAUUCUAUUUAAAGGCACAGGGUCUUUGUUUACUCAUACAUAGGCUCUUUUUGAAGACAGCUGAUGCUGCAUCAGUUAACUUCAAAAAUGUGAAACACAUGUAAUCUCCACAACCAUAAGGACUGAGAACUUAAGUUUUGGCUUUAAAUAGGUCAGAUUGUGGAGCAAGGGGGUGAAUUCUGCAGCAAAUCUGGUAGUUAUGGGAUCGUGGAAUAUAUAGGGCCUGGAUAGUGACUAUAUGCCAAUAAGAAAGCACUUCUAGUCUUUAUAAUGUGAACUGUAUUUUGAACACAGAAAAUGUUGUAACGUCCUUAAUACACUAUGUUCUCUAUCAAACAAUUCCACUAGAUUUCAUUAUUUUAUAGUGCCAUAACUAUACACUUAGAAAAAGCCAUGGUUAAAUAAUCCUUGAUAGUCUGUCAGCCUCCAUAAAAGUUAAUUUUAUCAUCAAGUUAAACAUAGUUCUACAAUGAUAUUGUAAAAGGGGUUUAAAAUAUCCUAUUGCAGUUCAACAGAUUAUAAAUACAACUGAGUGGGUUGAUCUAUUUUAGAUAUCUAUUUUAUAUGGCCCCACCACCAUAGUAUCUGAGCGCCUCAUAAUCUUUACUGUAGUUUGCCUCACAACAUCCCUGAGAGAUAGGGGAAAAUCUAUAUUCCUCAUUUUACAGAUGGGGAAAUGAGGCCUAGGGAGACAGGAAGUCUGUGGUGCAGCAGGGAACUGAACCCCAGUCUCUGAGUCCCAGCUACUGCCCUAA